AAAAAAGAACAAAAUAAUGCCAUUUGCAGCAACAUGAAUGGAACUAGAGACUCAUACUGAGUGAAGUAAGUCAGAAAGAGAAAGACAAAUACCAUAUGAUAUCACUAAUAUCUGGAAUCUAAUCUACGGCACAAAUGAACCUUUUCACAGCCACAAUUUUAUAUGGUAUUGUGUAUGGGUUAAUUCCAAACUAAAGUUCCAAUCAAUGUAACUCAUUCUGUUUAAAAUCCAAACCCUCUACACCAAGCAUGAUCUGGCUCCAGGUCGUUUCUCUAACCACAACCCUAGUUCAUCCUUUCUAGCUAACCCAUCUCCUUACACCAGCCUUCUUUCUUUUUCUCACCCAAGCUGAGCUCCUGUUAUCUUUACAGCCCACACACAGGUUAAUCCUUCUUCCUUUUGCCCCUCCUCAUUCUUCAAUUGUCACUUUAAAAUAUCACCUCCUUAAAGAUGCCCUUAUUGCCUAUUCAUGUAGAUUAUAUCUCCCCAGUCAUGCUCUGUAAUGUUCCAAUCAAAAUGUGUAUUACACAUUUGUUUAGGUUUUCUUUAUUUAAUGUCUACGUAGUUCACUAGACUAGAAGCUCCAUGAUUGCAGGGACCACAUAUUUCUAAUGCAUUAUGUCAUCUAACAUAGUGAAACACAGGAGGCAUACAGCAGAUAACUAUAACUCAAUGAAUUAUAGUCUCUUUGAUUGCUUCUUUCUUAGACACUACUUGUUUAUUCCAUAAAAAUAAGCCAUAUUAUUUAUCAGCCAAUUGCAUGUUUAUUUUUUCUUCCUUUCUUUAAACAGUUAAGUUUUGAAUUUCAAGGAACAUUCAUUCAUUCCUCUUUGUUUACGAAGCACCUACUCUGUCCCAGAAAAUUAAAAACACACAUUUAAUAAUAGGGACAUUUAAUAGGGAAUGAGACAAAUGUUUCUAUCCUCAAUUCCACAAUGGGAAACAGGAAACAGACAUACACUACAGCCUGGGAAGUACUUUGGGAAUGCAAGAAGGGAUACCUAACUUGGAGUAAAUGGGUAGGAAAGACUUGCAUUGAAAGUGGCUUCCAAGCUGAGGUGUGGAGUAGAUCUUAGCCUUACCAUCCUUCUUUUACACACUAAAUUCAAGACCACCUUCUCUCUCAUGUGUGAACUCCCUUUCACUUUUAUCAACAUGGACUGUGGAGCACUUUUCCCUACACGGAGAAAGAGCUAGUAAUAAUAAGGUGUCAGAGUGACUUUCACUUGGCUUCUAGCAAGUAAAAUCCAGGACAAGUUCAAAGCUAUGACUAUAUUAUCUUUCUCUCCAUUGGUCUCCUUCUUGAAUAUCCCACAGCGACUAUGAAGUUUCAGCUCAAAGAACUUAUUAUUUUUCUACUCUGUGCACUGGAGUCCAGCUCCGGAAUAUGAAAGCACGUUGUAAGGGCCACAGAAGCACUGAAGUCUCUCAAAGCCUAUUCCUUCCAAUAUUUGUUAACCUCUCUCACAGUAAUAGAAACACAUCACAAGAGGUUUUUGCUCUUUCAGAAAAACGUAUGAUGGGAAUAGGAUAGGUUAAAUAAAUUUUGCAUGGCUUUCACUUCUUUAAAUUCAUUCUUUCAUUAAUGAAUAGAAUACCUCAUGUUUAUUUGUUCUGACUAGUGUAGUAAGCACGAAUUCCACAUAGUAUAAGAAAGCAGAAAAACAAUUUUUAAAUGUUACAUGAACACACAGUGGUCUUCCCAAUUCUGAUAUCUCUUCCAGGUAAGAUGUUACUUCUUGCGCAAUAAAAUUUGAAUGAAUGAAUGAGGUUGGACAAAGACGCUGAAGUUCAAUUUUGCAUAACAGUGGAUGAAAAAAUUAAAACAGUGGACAUUGAUUAUAUUGAUGUUUAUGACAGUAUCGAACAGUCACUUCUUUUUACCAUAAAGUUCAUCAUUUUCAAUUAGAAAGUUAGUGUGUCUAUCUUUGUUUUUUUCCUUUUUACGUCUGCACCUUAGGCAUAUGGAAGUUCCCAGGCUAGGGGUUGAAUCAGAGCUGCAGCUGCCCGCCUACCCACAGUCAGGGCAACAGAGAAUCCAAGCUGCAUCUGGGACCUAUCCUGCAGCUUGCGGCAACACCGGACUCCUAACCUACUGAGUGAGGCCAGGUAUUGAACCCGCAUCCUCAGGGACACUAUGUCAGGUUCUUAACCCACUGAGCCACAGUGGGAACACCUAGUGUGUCUUUCAAUUGCAUAGUCAGUUCCACUAUAACUCCUGAUUUGAAAAUGCAAAUUCCCCACAGGAAAUAAUUGAAUAUGAUACCAGUUUCCCAUUUGGGUAUGCAUUAUUUUGCAUGUGAUAAAUAGUAAGGAACACAGAAAACUGCACCCAACUGACACUGGCUACACAGGAAUUCACAAAAUGCCCCACAAACAUCUACCAGGUACUUCAGUCUGCCCUAUGUGUUAAGAACCAUAUCUGGUGUAGAGCUUCCUAUCAGAUUUCAGAUAACCUCCCUUCUACCUCAUCACAAUAAUUCUCUAGCUGCAGCUCUUCUAUAAGCAAAUUUCGGGUCUCUUUCAAGGUAAAGUCCAUUUUUAUUAUAAUAUUUAUGUAUUUCUUAACCAUUUACAUGUGUAAAAUUAUGCUACCAUUUCGAUUAGGUUCCUGUCUAUAUGUGUGUGUGCCUAAUUCAGAUAUCAAGUGUAUACCUCAACUUUUGUUUCCCAUAAGUGCUUGUGAUUUGUAUUUCAUGAUUUCGAAUAGAGAGGUAAAUUUUAGGAACAUAUAUGUUGUGUUGUAGCAUGUACUACUUCCCAUUGUUAUUUGUGUGAUUUUUUUGAAGACCUUCUCCACAAUUUAAAACUGCCUUAUGAUAUUAAAUGCACGUUUAACUUAAAAUAAUUUUUAUUCUAAUUUUUUUAUGAUUAUUCAUUUCCAGGAUUGCUAAUAACUAAGGAUAUAAGAAAUUAUAUUUUCUUUGAUGGAAAAAAAUUCAAAAAGAAAAUUAAGUGCAUCAAUCAUCAACUAGUAGCUUAAAAAUAAUAACUCAUUGUCUAUUUCUAUGAAAUUGAGUAAAUCCUCCUCUAUUACAUAAUCUUCAAAAAGUCCAGGAAUUAUUUUCUUGGUGGUGAACUCCAAAACUUUUUUUUUGGUCUUUUUUGCCAUUUCUUGGGCUGCUCCCGUGGCAUACGGAGGUUCCCAGGCUAGGGGGCUAAUCAGAGCUGUAGCCACUGGCCUAUACCACAGCCACAGUAACACGGGAUCCAAGCCGCGUCUGCAACCUACACCACAGCCCACGGCAACGCCGGAUCCUUAACCCACUGAGCAAGGCCAGGGAUUGAACCUGCAACCUCAUGGUUCCUAGUCAGAUUCGUUAACCACUGAGCCAUGACGGGAACUCCUCCAAAACUUUUUUAAAGCUAAAUAAAACAGGUUCCUCAUAAUUGUUCAAAUAUUACACUGAAUAUUGUAAAGAUAUAUAAAUAACUAUAGAAAUUGCUAUGGAUGAAUGGUUAUUGAUUGGGCUUUUUUUUUUUUUUUAAGCUAUGCACAUGACAUCAGGGAAUUCCCCAGCCAGGGAUUGACUCCACACCACAGCAGCAACAAAGCUGGAUCCUUAACCAGAUGUGCCACCAAGGAACUCCCAUGUCUGGGCAUUUCUGAAGCGGUCAUCUUGCUAAAAAUAUGGAGACCGGUCACUCAUGAAGAAAAGCUCUAGGUUAUUUCUGUUAAAUAACUCUAAGAAUAAUAGAGUAAUGAAUGUUUCAAGCUACUAGAAUAACAGAAUAUUUUUACCAAUAUAUACUAGCAUAAAACUAAUUGCUCUAUAGCCAAUAGAAAUACAGAAAUAGUUAGCAAGCCAAUUAACAAUGGGUGUGAAUAGAGGUGUCCCCAUGGCAUCAGGCUCUAUUCUUUCAGAACACAGUCAAUAAUGUGAUCUUAGAAAUAAUGACCUUUAACAGAAUCUCAUGGUUUAUGUAUUUUCUAGUGUCUAUUUUCUAUGAAGGAUGUAUCAUGAGGUUUCCACAAUGCUACAGUGAAGGCAGGAAACAUUUUUUUGAAGUGCUCAUAAACUGUGAAUAAAUUGCUUUUAAUCAGACUUUUUCUUUAAAAAGAAAUAGAGACAAUAUAAAGGAGUGUAACUUUCUCACUAAAGAGAUAGAGGAAAAAGAACCUGACAGAGCAAAUCCAAACCAAUUAAGCAGAACAAAAACCAUUUUAAAGUGAAUAAAACAGAGCUGAACAUCAAAUAUAGGUCUAAUAUUGAUGUGAAUAAAUUAUGCAGCUCUAAUUGUGAAAUUUACAUUAAGUAUACCAUGUCAGUUCUAAUAUAGUCAUUAUAUUUUAUUGAAAAUAUUAUUAAAAAUU
rnacentral:lncRNA from 1 species